GAGGGUAUAGUUCAACUGGUAGAGUCUGUGCUUGUCAUGCACAAGGUCCUGGGUUCAAUCCCCCGUAACUCCU
rnacentral:tRNA from 1 species